CCCCAAAAUGCCCUUCCUGUGCCCCCAAAGAGAUAGCAGAGCAGGCAGCUGCAGCUGAAGCUGGAGCGGCUCCGUGAGCGCGCUCGGAAGCAGCAGCAGCGGCGGCAGAUCUGCAGCCUCAGCUUCAACCUGGAUGAAGAGGAAGAGGAGGAGGGGGGGGGAGGGGAAAGCCCCCCCAGGGACCCCCCCAGCGACGAGGAGCCCCCCCGGAAGAAGAAGCUGGGGAAGAACCCGGAUGUGGACACCAGUUUCCUCCCGGAUCGCGACAGGGAGGUGAAUUUGGGCCCCAAUUUUGGGGUUUUUGGGGU